rnacentral:lncRNA from 1 species
CCCGGUCUAAUUCAAAAAUUUCCACUAACGCAAGAGGGAUUCCUGCGACUAACGCUAGAGCAAAGGGAAAGGACAAUGAAGCAGCAAUAAACAGAUUGAAGAGCUAUUAGUAUAGCAAGUAUUAAUUCAACAAUUAGUUAGUUUGGGAAGACUGCUUUGCCUGGAUUGAUGGCGAGCCUGGUUCUUUAUGAUCCGGUGACAUCUUUUGGCCUAUUGAGGAACUGGACAUGAUUUAUAUAGCGAAGUUAAGUGUAUGGAUGACAACUUCCUCUCAUACCUCUUUUGGCCUAUUGAGGAACUGGACAUGAUUUAUAUAGCGAAGUUAAGUGUAUGGAUGACUACUUCCUCUGAUACAUGUUAUCUGUAUAUUUUAUAUACAUGGCUUUUGUGUUCUGUCAUGUGCGUUCCUGCUGCAGACUUUUCUAGGAAAUUCACCAUGGGAAUUUAAAUAAUGGUUCCCUGCCCAUCAGUUUACUUUCUUGCAUUUUAUAGGCCACACUUUUCGUAUUUUGUUAAAGAAGUGAACUCAUUCCUAA